CCCGUAGCUCAGCUGGAUAGAGCGCUGCCCUCCGAAGGCAGAGGUCACAGGUUCGAAUCCUGUCGGGUC
rnacentral:tRNA from 1 species